UACGUAGGGGGCAAGCGUUGUCCGGAAUCAUUGGGCGUAAAGAGCGUGUAGGCGGCCAAACAGGUCCGUUGUGAAAACUGGAGGCUCAACCUCCAGACGUCGACGGAAACCGUGUGGCUAGAGUCCGGAAGAGGAGAGUGGAAUUCCUGGUGUAGCGGUGAAAUGCGCAGAUAUCAGGAAGAACACCAAUGGCGAAGGCAGCUCUCUGGGACGGUACUGACGCUGAGACGCGAAAGCGUGGGAGCGAACAGG
rnacentral:rRNA from 1 species